rfam:Picea glauca, whole genome shotgun sequence.
UCAUAUGUACAUGCUUAUAGUGUUAAUGCAUUAGAUCCCAUCAAAAAUCCGUAGUUAAUCACGCUUGGGCUAGAGUAGUACUAGGAUGGGUUACCUCCCAAAAAGUCAUGGUGUUUUACAUGCC